GCCAGUAUUUAAGGGCUGCCGCUGCCCUCGCCACCACAGUCCUGCCAGGACGGCGACAGUGAAGCACCUGGGUUGAGAGGGAGCAGCAGGUAACUGCGCAACCCCUGCCUCCCCCGGUCCCAGCCCGUGCCUCAGCAGAGCCGGGUGUUGGGGAGGACCCGGGAGUGGGUCUCACUGCGCGUGUCGCCUGCCAACACCUUCCUCCCCCACCAUCCUUACCCAGCCCCAUUCCCACCCAGCACACCUGGGCGAGACAACCCAGGUGCGAAGGACAAGCGAUUAUUACCGAAGAGCGUGCAAACCAGGAAGAGAGCGGCCUACUGGAGAGGAAAACGUGAUCCCAGGGGUAGAUACGUGGCGCUGCGUGGAGAGACAGGUUGACGAGACGAGGCUCUUCUGACCGUCCCAUCUGGCAAAACUUGACGACAGCUUCAGGUCGCUACCAUCUAGACCUCUCGGAGCUCCCUGAACCAUGACUCAGACCCUCGACACAAGGGAAGACCCUCUGAACUUGGGCGGCGGCAGCGGCGGCGGCGGCAGCGGCGGCUGUGGCUGGGCACACUCGGCCUCCUUGAGCUCCUGGUCGUCCUGCCAUCGAAGGCGCCCGGGUGCUCCAGUGUACAAUAGGCCGCACCGCUAUAGCCCCAAGACCGAGUAUGGGCCGCCAAGGAGGCAGCCGAAGCAACAGCACGGCCCGGGCUUUUGGUUCCAACCACCCGUGUGCUUUAACUGGGGGUGCUGGGGAGGGCCCUGGCGCCCACCUCCAAGAUUCCGGAAUUUCCCCUGCCCGGUGCAAGUGUUUCGGGUAUAUGGCCUGCACCCUCUCUGCUUUUGCUGCUGCUCCUGCUGGAGCAGGUCCUGGAACCCUGGCUGGGUGAGGCCCCCAGGCAGGAAGAAGCGCUGGGGCCGCAGAGGCCGCGGCCUGCGCCACCACCCUCGCCGCUCUUCCCCGCGGAGCCCGCCAGCGGAUGUGAGCACGCUGCCGCAGCCGGUCAAGCUGUGUGAGUGGAGAGAGCCUGGCAUGCGAGCGCCGCCCAACACCACCCAAUUCAUCAUGAACCAGAUCUACGAGGACAUGCGGCAGCAGGAGAAGCUGAAGCGGCAGCAGGAGGCGCUGCGGUCGCAGAAAGCCACGGUGAGCCGCGAGGCCUCCCCGGCCAGAUCCUCCGGAAACGACGCGCCCCCUGGCGGCGGCGAGGAAGCCUGGGGACUGCAGGAAACUCUGUAUGGCUUUGUGCAGAAUCCCUCUCUUGCAUUCAGUCCCAACCCAGAGGAAAACCAGUCUCUUGCCCCGCUGCUGGUGGAGGAAGAGGAGGAGAAGAAAAAUGAUGAUGAGGAGGAGUAUGACCAGGAGGUGUGUGAUGCAAAGGAGGCGAGCGAGGAGGAAGAAGAAGAGGUUGAAGAUGAGGAAGAAGAGGUCGAAGAUGAGGAGGAAGAGGUCGAAGAGGCUGAAUAUGUGGAGGAGGGGGAGGAGGAGGAAGAGGAGGAGCUGGAAGAGGAAGAGGAGGUCCUGGAGGAGAACGAGCAGAGAGGGGAAGAAUUUCACUUGCCUCUGGAAAUGCCUUUAUCAAUCUUCGUAGGGGCUGAAGAAAAGAGAGAGAACUUUAUAAGCUGCACUUUUUUAAACCCAGAGCAGAUAAUUCCCAAAGUGCCACAGGAAUCCCUGUUCAUGGCACAGGACUUUAACUGUUAGACAUCAGAAAAGGGAUUGAGAAAAGGGAUGGAACUGAUUUGAGGCUAAACUGGAUUAGCAAUUUAUUAAAAACUGAUUAAAAAUGCUAUGGAUCUUCCUCAGAAGAACAUGAAGUUGCUUCUGUGGAACUGGUUAUCAGCCAUGGCCUCAACAAUCCAUAAUCCAGUCAUGGAGAGGAUUCCCCAUGGUCAGAAGUCAACUUGCACAUCUAGUUAAAGUCCAAGGUAACUGCAAACAAUGGAACAUAGCUUAGGUUUUGAAGCCUCGUUAUUGGAUAUAGUCUUUAUCCUAAGUUCUGAGCAGCCAUAAAAAUAGUUUUCCAGAAUGGAUUUUUUUUAGAUAAAAAGAUUAUCUACCUUUUGGGGGUGGAAUAUCUUAUUUUGUUUUUGAAUUUGUCUUUGUUAUAAAGAGUAAAACAAAGAUGUGUAAGUGUGAGUCUCUGUGAGCUAGUUUCUGAUGCCUAAACAGCAAUUACCUAUAGAGAAUACAUCAUUCAAAAUAAUAGCU